GCUGCUGGCGUUGGGCUGGCUGGCCUGAUAGGCCUGCUGUUGGGCCUGGCGUUGGGUUGGGUCUGCACUUGGGCUGUUUUUGGCCUGUUUCUUUUUUUUUUUGCUUUUGCCCUUUUUUUUGUUUUUUUUUCUUUGGGCUGCUGGGCUUGGCCUGGGUAUGCAGGUGGCGGGUCGGGUCGCAGUGUUCGGGUCAGAGUCGGUUCGGUUUGACCCGACUGUUAAAUAUUUUUUUUCUUUUUUCUUUUUCUUCCUUCUUCUUCUUCCUUCUUCUUCUUCCUUCCUUCCUUCUUUCUCUUUUUCUUCUUCUUUCUCCUUCUUCUUCUCCGUUCGGCCUCCUUCACGCCGCCGCUGCACCGCCGUCGCUCCUCCCCUCUCUUCCUUUCUUUCCUCUUCCUCUUUCUUUUUGCUGCUGAAAAAAUGUGGCAGGUGGGGAAGGCCAUGCCCUAGGCCGGCGGCCGGAAAUCGUGGGGCAGGUGCACGAAAUCCGUCUGAUUAUUGGGGAUUUUCUGACAUAAGGACCAAUUUGUAAAUGCAGCAAAAGUUUUGGGGCCGAAACAAAAUUCUGAGAAAGUUUAGGGGUCAAAACGUAAUUUCAAAAAGUUUAUGGGUCAAAAUGUAAUUUUAUGAAAUUUAGGGGUUAAAAUGAAAUUUCAAAAAGUUUAGGGGUUAAAUGUAAUUUUUUAUUUUUUGUAUUUUUUUUGAAUUUUUUUGUAAAAGAAACGAAAUCGAGCCGGACAAAAUUCAGUGAUUACAGAAAGUAGUCACUUUCCUGAGAAAUUAAUCAGUUAGAAAGUGAUUCUAAUGUCUAAAUAAAUAUAUCCAAUUUUAUUUA